CCUCCUCUUCCUCUCCAGCCGCCUCCCCUCUCCUUUCUCUCUCCCUCUCCUCCAUUUUUUCCGGCGAGGGAGACAGCCGGACGGGAACACCAAGCAGCACCGCUGCUCACCCUUCCUCCCCUUCUCCCUCUCUCCAACUCGUUCUCUUCCUCCCUUUCUCCCUCUCCCGUCGCUACUCCUCCGUAUCUCCCUUUUUCCGACCAGCCAUCCUCCUCCCCUCUCUCCCCCCAUUUUAUCCGGCAAGGAUGGCCGCCAGGCAGCCUCCUUCUCCCUCUCUCCUGCUUCAUCAAGCGCCACCAGCUAACCUCCCAUCUAUCUUUUUCCGACAAGGGCCAGCAAUUGCUGGCCGCCUGUAUCUCUUUCUUUCCUUUGGCCCAUCGCUUCUUCUUCUUCUUCUCUCCCUCCUCCCUUCUAUCUUCUCUCUGGCAGCGAGCUGCCAGGCGCCCAAUAGCUGCAAAAAAUCAGCAACAGUCUGGCGAGGAGCAGGAAAGUGACUCCGGACAGCAGCUACGACCAGCAGCAACGAACUCCGGCAAAUGACAGCAUCUCUAGCGACAACCAGCAGCGAACCAUCGGCAAGGAGGAACGUCGCCAGCUACGACAACAACCAGCAGCUCCGGCCGGCUAGAAGCAGCAACAAAGCAGCGAGCUCCGGCGAGAGCUUUUGGAAAAUCAAGUUUGUGAAAAAGACGGAUCUUUAAAAGAUUCAUCCGGGUACAUUCUUUUAACUUUAUUAUCUCAUCUUUUGGUAAUGUUUGUUCUUCUUUCAUUUAUAAUUUGUCUUGGAUUUUAGAAUAUAAAUGUUGUUAUGCAUAUCACCAUUAAGGAUGAAAACUUACUGAUUAGAUCUUAAAGUUUUGAAUUUAAUCGUUUAUGGGUUGUUAGUUCUUAAAGUUAGAGUUCUUUAGAUUAAUUGCAGGCACACAUAGUUCUUAACCUUUCCCUUUUAAUAAUAUGGUCACCAUUUGCUAGUGACAAAAUUGUGACUUUGAGAUCAAUUGUAUGCAUUAAAAGUAUUUGUUUCUUAUUCGUAUAUGAGCUAGAUUUCUUGACUUAUUUGGUUUGCUAAUAUUGCUCCCUUGAUAAUUGGAAUAGAUUGCUUAUAUAUUUAGUAGAAUAUAUUUUUAUUCCCUCUUGAUGUAAUCAAAAUAAUAAUAACCGGUGAACCAUUUUACCUCACUGUUUUCCCUCUCUCUAAGGAAAAAUAAUAUUAUUAUUUUUAUUUAUUUUUUAAUUUACUUGUUUAUAUUUGGUAAUGAAAUAUUUUAAAAUUUUCUGAUUUAGUCCUCCUUUAUAAUAAGGAAAAUAGAAUAUUAAUUGAUUCCUUAAAAAAUAUUUGCUUACCUUAUUUGUUCCCCCUCUUCUACUAUAUAAGAGACCCCUUUGCAUUCUUUUAACACACACAUCUUUCAUAACAAGUUCUCUCAUCAACUCAUUCAUUCUCUCUCCACACAAGAACUAGACUUCUUAACUCUCUCAUUACUCUCUUGCUACUCUUGAACGAAAUAAGUUUUCGGUAACUUUCAAGAACUACUUUGCUACUUUGGUUUUGUUCCAGUAAAGGAUGGAUCAACUUGUUUCCAUUGCUACCAUUCCUAAUCUGCUUAACCGGUUUCAAACUUGAAGUUCAAGUUGAACAAGAGAGAUCAUUUGUCUAAUUCAUAUUUGAAUAUAUUUCUUAUGUAUUUAUUUAACCUUUUUGUAAUAUUCGUAUAACACUGAAGCUCUCAUAUAUGAUAUAAGAUUUGGGGAAUUGGCUAUAUGGGGAGGGGGAUAUAUAUACAUGCUAAUUGUUUUCUUUGCUUAUUA